rnacentral:ncRNA from 1 species
UGCGAUAGAGGUUGCGUUUUUCAUGAGUAGGUUAUUUGAUGUGUACAGGCACAGAAGACAAUAAUUAAAAGGGAACGGCGCCGAAAGGAGUGCUUUCUGUAGAGCAUUUCCUUGGGCAUAUGGUGAAUAAUCAUAUGACUGUCAUCAAGAAAUUGAUGGAGGGCUAUCUA